rnacentral:rRNA from 1 species
GUGGGGAAUAUUGGACAAUGGGCGCAAGCCUGAUCCAGCCAUGCCGCGUGAGUGAUGAAGGCCCUAGGGUUGUAAAGCUCUUUCAGUGGGGACGAUAAUGACGGUACCCACAGAAGAAGCCCCGGCUAACUUCGUGCCAGCAGCCGCGGUAAUACGAAGGGUGCUAGCGUUGUUCGGAUUUACUGGGCGUAAAGCGCACGUAGGCGGAUCGUUAAGUCGAGGGUGAAAUCCUGGAGCUCAACUCCAGAACUGCCUUCGAUACUGGCGAUCUUGAGUCCGGAAGAGGUGAGUGGAACUCCUAGUGUAGAGGUGGAAUUCGUAGAUAUUAGGAAGAACACCAGUGGCGAAGGCGGCUCACUGGUCCGGUACUGACGCUGAGGUGCGAAAGCGUGGGGAGCAAACAGGAUUAGAUACCCGGGUAGUCC